rnacentral:rRNA from 1 species
GAGUUUGAUCAUGGCUCAGGAUGAACGCUGGCGGCGUGCUUAACACAUGCAAGUCGAACGAGGUCCAUGGAGCUUGCUCCGGAAGAUCUAGUGGCGAACGGGUGCGUAACACGUGAGAAACCUGCCCCGAUCUCUGGGAUAACAGUUGGAAACGACUGCUAAUACCGGAUGCCGUCGCACCGCUUCAUGGCGGAGUGCCGAAAGAUUUAUCGGAUUGGGAGGGACUCGCGGCCUAUCAGCUAGUUGGAGAGGUAACGGCUCACCAAGGCAUCGACGGGUAGCUGGUCUGAGAGGAUGAUCAGCCACACUGGGACUGAGACACGGCCCAGACUCCUACGGGAGGCAGCAGUGGGGAAUCUUGCACAAUGGGCGAAAGCCUGAUGCAGCAACGCCGCGUGCGGGAUGAAGGCCCUAGGGUUGUAAACCGCUUUCAGUAGGGAAGAAAAUGACGGUACCUACAGAAGAAGGUGCGGCCAACUACGUGCCAGCAGCCGCGGUGACACGUAGGCACCAAGCGUUAUCCGGAUUUAUUGGGCGUAAAGAGCUCGUAGGCGGUUCGGUAAGUCGCGUGUGAAAACUCUGGGCUCAACCCAGAGACGCCACGCGAUACUGCUGUGACUAGAGUG